AUUUCGCAUGUAGGGGUAAAAUCCGUAGAGAUGCGAAGGAACACCAGAGCCGAAGGGGCUUCUCUGGGCAUACACUGACGCUGAGGCGCGGAAGCGUGGGUAGCAAACAGGAUUAGAUACCCUGGUAGUCCACGCCGUAAACGAUGAGUACUAGAUUUUGGGGCCUUUGACCGCUUCAGAGUCGCAGCUAACGCAUUAAGUACUCCGCCUGGGAAGUACGGUCGCAAGACUAAAACUCAAAGGGAUUGACGGGGGCCCGCACAAGCGGUGGAUUAUGUGGUUUAAUUCGAAGCAACGCGCAGAACCUUACCUGGGCUUGAAAUCCCGAGAAGAUCGGCCAAAACUGAUUGUGCUCUUCGGAGAACUCGGUGACAGGCGCUGCAUGGCUGUCGUCAGCUCGUGUCGUGAGAUGUUGGGUUAAGUCUCGCAACGAGCGCAACCCCUAUCCUUAGUUGCCAGCAUUAAGUUGGCACUCUAGGGAGACUGCCUGGUUAACCAGGAGGAAGGUGGGGAUGACGUCAAGUCCUCAUGGUCCUUAUGUCCAGGGCUACACACGUAAUACAAUGGUGCAUACAAAGGGACGCGACCCCGCGAGGGUGAGCAAAUCUCAAAAAGUGCAUCUCAGUCCGGAUUGGAGUCUGCAACUCGACUCCAUGAAGUUGGAAUCGCUAGUAAUCGCGGAUCAGCACGCCGCGGUGAAUACGUUCCCGGGCCUUGUACACACCGCCCGUCACACCAUGGGAGUUGAUCUUACCUGAAGCCGUGGC
rnacentral:rRNA from 1 species